rnacentral:rRNA from 1 species
GAUGAACGCUGGCGGCGUGCCUAAUACAUGCAAGUCGAGCGCACAGACGAGGAGCUUGCUCCUCUGACGUUAGCGGCGGACGGGUGAGUAACACGUGGAUAACCUACCUAUAAGACUGGGAUAACUUCGGGAAACCGGAGCUAAUACCGGAUAAUAUAUUGAACCGCAUGGUUCAAUAGUGAAAGACGGUUUUGCUGUCACUUAUAGUGGAAUCCCCGCCGCAUUAGCUAUUUGUUAAGGUAACGGCUUACCAAGGCGACGAUGCUUAGCCGACCUGAGAGGGUGACCGGCCACACUGGAACUGAGACACGGUCCAGACUCCUACGGGAGGCAGCAGUAGGGAAUCUUCCGCAAUGGGCGAAAGCCUGACGGAGCAACGCCGCGGGAGUGAUGAAGUUCUUCGGAUCGUAAAACUCUGUUAUUAGGGAAGAACAAAUGUGUAAGUAACUAUGCACGUCUUGACGGUACCUAAUCAGAAAGCCACGGCUAACUACGUG